rnacentral:rRNA from 1 species
CGGGAAUCUUCGGAUUCUAGUGGCGGACGGGUGAGUAACGCGUAAGAAUCUAACUUCAGGACGGGGACAACAGUUGGAAACGACUGCUAAUACCCGAUGUGCCGCAAGGUGAAACCUAAUUGGCCUGAAGAAGAGCUUGCGUCUGAUUAGCUAGUUGGUGGGGUAAAGGCCUACCAAGGCGACGAUCAGUAGCUGGUCUGAGAGGAUGAGCAGCCACACUGGGACUGAGACACGGCCCAGACUCCUACGGGAGGCAGCAGUGGGGAAUUUUCCGCAAUGGGCGAAAGCCUGACGGAGCAACGCCGCGUGAGGGAGGAAGGUCUUUGGAUUGUAAACCUCUUUUCUCAAGGAAGAAGUUCUGACGGUACUUGAGGAAUCAGCCUCGGCUAACUCCGUGCCAGCAGCCGCGGUAAUACGGGGGAGGCAAGCGUUAUCCGGAAUUAUUGGGCGUAAAGCGUCCGCAGGUGGUCAGCCAAGUCUGCUGUCAAUCAGGUUGCUUAACGACCUAAAGGCGGUGGAAACUGGCAGACUAGAGAGCAGUAGGGGUAGCAGGAAUUCCCAGUGUAGCGGUGAAAUGCGUA